GCUUGUUGGGGUUGUAGGACACUCUAUACGGAGUUACAAAAGUAUAUAUUAGACGAAUCAUCUGGAAAGUUGAAUCAAAGAAGGUAAUAAUCCUGUAGUCGAAAAUAUAUACUCUCUUGAGUGGAUCCUGAGUACGACGGAGCACGUGAAAUUCCGUCGGAAUCUGGGAGGACCAUCUCCUAAGGCUAAAUACUCUCUAGUGACCGAUAGUGAACCAGUACCGUGAGGGAAAGGUGAAAAGUACCCCGGAAGGGGAGUGAAAGAGAACUUGAAACCGUGUGCUUACAAGUAGUCAGAGCCCGUUAAUGGGUGAUGGCGUGCCUUUUGUAGAAUGAACCGGCGAGUUACGAUUUGAUGCAAGGUUAAGCAGCUAAUGUGGAGCCGUAGCGAAAGCGAGUCUGAAUAGGGCGUUUAGUAUUUGGUCGUAGACCCGAAACCAGGUGAUCUACCCUUGGUCAGGUUGAAGUUCAGGUAACACUGAAUGGAGGACCGAACCGACUUACGUUGAAAAGUGAGCGGAUGAACUGAGGGUAGCGGAGAAAUUCCAAUCGAACUUGGAGAUAGCUGGUUCUCUCCGAAAUAGCUUUAGGGCUAGCCUCAAGUGAUGAUUAUUGGAGGUAGAGCACUGUUUGGACGAGGGGCCCUUCUCGGGUUACCGAAUUCAGACAAACUCCGAAUGCCAAUCAAUUUAACUUGGGAGUCAGAACAUGGGUGAUAAGGUCCGUGUUCGAAAGGGAAACAGCCCAGACCACCAGCUAAGGUCCCAAAAUAUAUGUUAAGUGGAAAAGGAUGUGGCGUUGCCCAGACAACUAGGAUGUUGGCUUAGAAGCAGCCAUCAUUUAAAGAGUGCGUAAUAGCUCACUAGUCGAGUGACACUGCGCCGAAAAUGUACCGGGGCUAAACAUAUUACCGAAGCUGUGGAUUGUCCGUAGGACAAUGGUAGGAGAGCGUUCUAAGGGCGUCGAAGCAUGAUCGCAAGGACAUGUGGAGCGCUUAGAAGUGAGAAUGCCGGUGUGAGUAGCGAAAGACGGGUGAGAAUCCCGUCCACCGAUUGACUAAGGUUUCCAGAGGAAGGCUCGUCCGCUCUGGGUUAGUCGGGUCCUAAGCUGAGGCCGACAGGCGUAGGCGAUGGAUAACAGGUUGAUAUUCCUGUACCACCUAGUAUCGUUUUAAUCGAUGGGGGGACGCAGUAGGAUAGGCGAAGCGUGCUAUUGGAUUGCACGUCCAAGCAGUAAGACUGAGUGUUAGGCAAAUCCGGCACUCAUAAGGUCAAGCUGUGAUGGGGAGAGGAAAUUGUUUCCUCGAGUCGUUGAUUUCACACUGCCAAGAAAAGCCUCUAGAUAGAUAACAGGUGCCCGUACCGCAAACCGACACAGGUAGUCAAGAUGAGAAUUCUAAGGUGAGCGAGCGAACUCUCGUUAAGGAACUCGGCAAAAUGACCCCGUAACUUCGGGAGAAGGGGUGCUCUUUAGGGUUAACGCCCAGAAGAGCCGCAGUGAAUAGGCCCAAGCGACUGUUUAUCAAAAACACAGGUCUCUGCUAAACCGUAAGGUGAUGUAUAGGGGCUGACGCCUGCCCGGUGCUGGAAGGUUAAGAGGAGUAGUUAGCUUCUGCGAAGCUACGAAUCGAAGCCCCAGUAAACGGCGGCCGUAACUAUAACGGUCCUAAGGUAGCGAAAUUCCUUGUCGGGUAAGUUCCGACCCGCACGAAAGGCGUAACGAUUUGGGCACUGUCUCAACGAGAGACUCGGUGAAAUCAUAGUACCUGUGAAGAUGCAGGUUACCCGCGACAGGACGGAAAGACCCCGUGGAGCUUUACUGUAGCCUGAUAUUGAAAUUCGGCACAGCUUGUACAGGAUAGGUAGGAGCCUUUGAAACGUGAGCGCUAGCUUACGUGGAGGCAUUGGUGGGAUACUACCCUAGCUGUGUUGGCUUUCUAACCCGCACCACUUAUCGUGGUGGGAGACAGUGUCAGGUGGGCAGUUUGACUGGGGCGGUCGCCUCCUAAAAGGUAACGGAGGCGCUCAAAGGUUCCCUCAGAAUGGUUGGAAAUCAUUCAUAGAGUGUAAAGGCAUAAGGGAGCUUGACUGCGAGACUUACAAGUCGAGCAGGGUCGAAAGACGGACUUAGUGAUCCGGUGGUUCCGCAUGGAAGGGCCAUCGCUCAACGGAUAAAAGCUACCCCGGGGAUAACAGGCUUAUCUCCCCCAAGAGUUCACAUCGACGGGGAGGUUUGGCACCUCGAUGUCGGCUCAUCGCAUCCUGGGGCUGUAGUCGGUCCCAAGGGUUGGGCUGUUCGCCCAUUAAAGCGGUACGCGAGCUGGGUUCAGAACGUCGUGAGACAGUUCGGUCCCUAUCCGUCGUGGGCGUAGGAAAUUUGAGAGGAGCUGUCCUUAGUACGAGAGGACCGGGAUGGACAUACCUCUGGUGUACCAGUUGUCGUGCCAACGGCAUAGCUGGGUAGCUAUGUAUGGACGGGAUAAGUGCUGAAAGCAUCUAAGCAUGAAGCCCCCCUCAAGAUGAGAUUUCCCAACUUCGGUUAUAAGAUCCCUCAAAGAUGAUGAGGUUAAUAGGUUCGAGGUGGAAGCGUGGUGACACGUGGAGCUGACGAAUACUAAUCGAUCGAAGACUUAAUCAA
rnacentral:rRNA from 1 species